rnacentral:lncRNA from 1 species
AACCCCAGCUUAUCACUGAUAAGCCUCCAGAUUAACUGGAAAACUGCAGAAAUCUGACCCCAGUCGUAAACUUUUUCAUGUAAAAUCAUCAAAUGAUAAUCAAUCAAAACAAGAUAUACAUGUUUAAAAAGCUAAUAAAAUUAUCUACAAUUUGCAUAUUUUAUUUGUUAUUUUAUUGCCAUAUUAUCGGAUUUAUGAUCUUGUUAUCCAACAGAUCACGGUAAUUUACACCCGAUCUCAGAUAAACAGUAAACAUGCAGCGUUCGCGUGACACCAUGUGUCUUUGUUUCAAUAUGCGACUGGUUUAAUAGCUAUGAAUAUUAAUGAGUUUAAUAUAUCCAAUCAGAAAAAAGGUUUAUGAAUACAUUACAACUUGAUGCAUAUUCGUACGAUACUUAAAAGGAAAGAUAUAGUCCCCCAAAGUUGACCGUUUUUUUCUCAGAAAAUACGAAUUUUUCAGACAUGCACCAUGCACCAAUGCAAAAUAUACAUUCUGAAGUUUAAUUUGGUACCAAAAUCAUUUUUCGGAAACGCCAUUUACCCGGUCGCAUUUAUUUCUGAAAAUUGCAAUUUUCGGAAAAUCCAAAGGUCACGCACGUUUCAGGCCGACCGCCAUUUUGAAAUUUAUGAUAACACAACACCGAUACAAAAUAUCGUUAAAAAUCAAUAAAUCUGUUCAUUAAAAAAACAGGAAAACGAUUAAAAAUGAAAUGAAUGUUAAAUCAUAACAUUUGGUCAGCUAUGACAGAGAUAUACCUAGGCCCAUUUUGUGAUUGUGAUGCACACAGUACUAUCACAAAGUUAUAGACUGGACGUAUCAAGAAAACAAUCAAACCAUUAUUAAACAGCAUUAUGAUUGAAAUAAACCAUUUUGUCAAGACACCGGGGUUCAAAUAAAGUGAUUUGUUUAAUGUCUUUGUGCAUUCAAAUCAGUGUCAAUAAGACUGACAACUGGUACCCUGGCUUUGGAGAAAGUUGUGAAUGAUUCUACAGCGGUUGUCAAGUUCAUGACUCACUGUUGUAAGCUGGCCACUGAGAGAAGAUAAGCAAGUUAUAAACAUUUAGUUCGUGAUUGGCCAGAAAUUGGUGCCAGACUGUAUAAAUGCGGUUAGAUGAUGCCAUCAUGGUGAACAUAAGCACUUACAUACGGUAUUCAGCCAGUUCAGCAGUGACUUUUUCCGUUAACGUUAACCACACUACCAGUAGAAGUUGAAUUCAAAACUGACAUUUUUCAUUUCACUUUUAAUUAGUUCAAUGACACUCUUGGGUCUAGUAAAUAUGUAUCAUAGUUUUUAUGAGCAACUUGAAAUGAAUAAUUGCAGGUGGAAAUAAUUCUUUAUCAAGAGUAAAACUAUUUAAAUUAAUGGUAGAUAAUUUUAGCAAGUCGUAGCAGUCUAAUAGUGAAAAAAUAUUCAACAGAAAAAUAUGAAAUCAAUAUUAUUUGAAAAUAUUAUAUUUUAUUUAUAAACUUGUUCUAUGUAUAAUAAAUGUAUCUACACUGUCUUGUUCUGUAGUAAUAUUUAAAUAAAUCUGUUAAAGUGAUCAUGAAAAUGUAUGUGUAAGUGACAACUGAAAUUAUUUGAAAAUAAUGUAAAAACUUGAAAAAUAAAUUGCAUCAACCUGA